CAAAAUGAAGCUUGAAGCCAUUUAUUUACAUUAAAUAGUCCUUUGUUUAUUCAAAGCAUUUUGA
rnacentral:tRNA from 3 species